AAAAGCGAGUAGAAAAAAAGUGGGAAAAACAUCGUGUGGAAAAGAGGAAAAUAUUGUGAGAGACAGACAAAUAAAUAUCGAAAUGAAUUGGGGGGAAAAUUAUUGAGAGAUGAGAAUAUUGAGAGAGAGAGAAAGAGAAAAAAUUGUGACAAUAAGGGCACUUUGGAUGCAGCAAGGAGAAGCUUUGUUAUUUCAAAGGAAAACUUGGCCCUAAAAGUGCUUCAGCGUGCUUGAAAAGUGACCACAGGUGUUCUGUGAGUGACGGAAAGUCACAAAUAAAAUUCUAAAAGUGAAGGAAAAAAAUGUUCAAAAAUGUCAAUGUGCAUUAGCACAAGAUGUUCAAAGUGCUGCCCUUCGAACUCAAAAUCAAUAGAAAGUACUCCAUGAUGGUGAGAGAAUGGUAACAAUUGAACACUGAUGGAGUUGUAUGUUGAGUGAUAUAAUGCGAGAGGACAUUGGGGAAUGAUGUAAAACGGGUGAUUCAGUGAAGAAUGGGCUGUGGACAGAGUAAAAUUCAUCUCUACCCAAGAAAGUCCAAGAGCAAGACAAAUGGCAAGAAAAGUGGACAUGUCGAUAUAGACGCUGAUGCUGAUGAGGACGAAGGACACGUCGGCGACCGCGACAAAGAAAUCAAUAAAGAGCGUAUUGACGACGACAAUACGUUGUCUGAUGGAAAGGGUUCGCCGGAGCCAAAUGGAGAAAUUAAUGUACCUAUUCUGAGGCCAAAAAAUGUGUCACUGCUGCAGAGCCAGGACAUUUCGUCGAGCCAGCAGAAUUUCUUCCGCAUGCUCGACCAAAAGAUUGAAGAUGGUCCCGAUUAUGAUUCAUCGAGUGAGACUGAAGUGGCGCUUGAACAAGCAAGACUCACGAGUUUGUUUCAACACUGGGAAUCCGCUAGUCUCUCGGCAUCCAUAUGUUCAUCAACGAGCCCCCUGCAGAACACACCCGUGAGACAACCUAUGCGACAAGCACCGCAUCAACUUCGUCCUCAACAGCCCUUGAGUGUGGAAAUGUUGUCUCAGCAGCAAUUAAAGCAGCCGAACAUGAGUCCAAAACGUGACGCCCGGACGCCGUUGUCGCAGACGAUAAUCCAUCAGGGAUAUGGGGUGACGCAGCACCAAACCAACUCGCGGAUACCACCAAGAGUUGCAGGCCAGAGCGGCAUCCUCAUGGGGAGCCUGCCACUCUCCUACUAUUCACAACAGCAGCCAGUGACGACUCAGGCGUACUACAGCGAGAUGGUUCAUCAUCCUCUUCAGCAGGUGCAAUCGUCACCGGAGCCUCGUUUUCCGCCGGCCAUAAGUGUGCAGAGGCUGGCGCCUCAGGUACAGCGUCAACUGCGCGAGACACAGGAGCUGAUUAAGGACUCCUGUCCACAGAUGUAUGCGGCCGGGUACGGUAGCCCAGGACCUCCCAUGCGGGCGGCCAAUCAAAGUCAGAGAGUGAGGAGGACACCCACCUUGGAGACGCAGUACUCGCAAGAAUUGUCGUGAUAUAGAAACAUUAUUGAAUUAAGUGUGUAGGAACGCUUGGAGGAUUCUCAACGUCGCCAACAGCCAUCAUCCCAAGGGAAACACCCACAAUUGUAGCCAUAGUGAAUGCCUAGAAAAUGUUGAAAUUGUAGGUAUGGAUGCAUACACGAUGCCUGUAAUUCACUUUUUUUACUACAAAGAAACUCUCUCAACUCUCCUUGAUAUUUGCUCAUCAAAUGACGAUUUUGUGGGACUUCAGAUGGUUGAAAAAUCUCUGAAGGCCCUGAAUAAUUUUCUCGAUCGCUAUAAUUUAUCGUCUGAGGCAAUGGAAACGGAAAAUUUACAAGCAAAUGUACCACUUAUCGGAUACUGUCUCUGCCGUGGAGAAUUCCAGGCACGUGAAUAUGUCGAAGGACUCAAGGAGAAAGUCAUCCUCUACCUCUUCCAGCAUGGACUGUUAGUUAUUAAGCCAAAACGUUCCACCAUGAAACAAUCGUGGAAGCACAUUUUUCACUCAUUCUGCGAUUUACAACACAUUGAUGUGGACAAAAAAGAAAUUGAUAUUAGAUUAAAAUGUUCAGAUACAGGAAGAACAUACUAUCGGAUUAAGAGAAGACACAGCCUUUUGAAAAAGGACAAGGGAGUUAGCAUAGCACAGCUCGUUGACUUAAUUUGUAAUCUCAAGGACGAACAAAGUUCAUCGAGAGAUUUCAUGGGAGUUUCCCAACCACCCAUUGAGGCGGUAAAUCUUCCUGUGAUUCAGAAAAUGCAAUUCUACAGCUUUUCUCUACAACGUUAUGGACUUUCAUCAAAAUCACUUACAUCUUUUUCUGAGGAUAAUGGAAAGUAUUUAGAUGCAUUUAAUUUACCAUGCAUUGAGCGAUUUUUGUUGCAGAAGUCACAAAGGACACAGGAACUGUAUGAAAUUAUUCGACAGAAAACAGAACAAUUUAUGAGAUUUCAGCGUAUUGAACGAGAACGUUUUGAACAUCUUUCAACAUUAAAUUAUUUUAAUUAGAUUUACUUGAGUGACUGUGUUUCUUUCUUAUUAAUUUAUACAUAUAUUUUAUAAGACAGAGAUAUCAAAUGGGCUGUUAUUACUUAGAUAUUUUCAUAUGAAAAUAUAAUAUGGCAUAAAAAUAUAUUAAUAAACAAAAAUUAAUAAUACCAUUGAGAAAAUCCUUGUAUUUGCAUCCUACAAAGCCAAUCAACACUAAAAAAAAAUCUUAUUUAAAAUAAAAAAAAAAAAAGAUUUUGUUUGUU